UACGUAGGGUGCAAGCGUUAAUCGGAAUUACUGGGCGUAAAGCGUGCGCAGGCGGUUAUGUAAGACAGAUGUGAAAUCCCCGGGCUCAACCUGGGAACUGCAUUUGUGACUGCAUAGCUAGAGUACGGUAGAGGGGGAUGGAAUUCCGCGUGUAGCAGUGAAAUGCGUAGAUAUGCGGAGGAACACCGAUGGCGAAGGCAAGCCCCUGGGCCUGUACUGACGCUCAUGCACGAAAGCGUGGGGAGCAAACAGG
rnacentral:rRNA from 1 species